rnacentral:tRNA from 1 species
GGUCAUGUGGCCGAGCGGCUAGGCACGGGUCUGCAAAACCUUUUACGACGGUUCGAACCCGUCCAUGACCU